UGUUUCUUCCAAUGCGAUGUUUCAAAUUCAUUCAAAUAUGUAUAAAUAAAAUUUUUCUAUUAACAUUGUAUCGAAGGUCUGAGGGGGGUGAUAGAACCAUAAGAAAAGACAAUCGGUUGGACAGAAGAAAGGGAUAAGAAGAAUAAUGACGAUGAUAACAUUGAGCUAAGUUGAAAAUCGGACAAAAUUUGUUUUUUUUAAAUUAUUUAAUUUAAUAAAAUGAGAUACGUAAUGAAUUCUCUUUAUCGACCUACACUCAACAAUCAGUGCCAGAGCCAGUGUUUUCGACGGGAGCAUGGUUCCCUUCAUUUAAGCAGUUUCCGCUGCUUAAAUCACCCCAGAACGUCCAGCGUCAAUUCCAGCACUCCAACGCAAUGUCCUGGUCACUCUCCGGAUCUUCCAGUAUAUUCGGAAAAUCCUCAUCCAGUUGCCCGCCGCACAUAACCCAACCUGUCACAACAGUGGGCCAUAGUUAAGAGAAUGAUCUUGAGUUUCCUCUCGGAUCUAGGGCUUCACUUUUAGCACUCAGAUCCUGGAUAACCCUUCGGGAUGCUCUCCAGGCGAUUUCACCUCUUCUCAGGCAACUCCAUGGGACUCUGGGUUUUUUCUUCCACUGACAUGCCUUUGCUGGUGCUCCAUACUGCUUCUCCAGUCAACACUGGACAUUCAGAGAGUGGAAAAAGACACGGAGUGGCACUAACAUUUCUUUGUGCUGAUUCUCAUACUACAGGAUCCGGGAUGACUUAUCCACUAUUAUUUACACAUUUUCGGGAACUACGGGUAAAAGCGCGAGAGAGACUAUGCUCUCCUAUUUAAUUUGAUAAUCAUUUAACUUUAAUGAUGGCUACCCUCGAAUUAUCCGGGUUUUAAGUGACCUUCGUCACAAGUUAUACAACAAAACAAUUGUAUAUUUACAUGUCAGACAUAUUUUGUUCCAAACUUUGUGUUUGGGUUCUAUCGUUCCUUUCUGAAUAAUUUCCCUUUUUUUCUCACCCAGCAGAUUACGAAUAGCAGCAUAUUAUUCGAUCCAGAUAUAUGCUGUUGAAGAAUUUUGAAUAUACUUCUUGGAAAUUUUUAUCGCAUCAUAACUUCACUCAAAUUUGGGAGAAUUUCGUCACUGAAAAUUCAGAACUUGAUGUAAAAAAUCAAUAUAAAUUGUAAAUUGGGAGGUUUUAAAUUUCCGUGAUUGUCCAGCUUGCAGGAAAUACUAGCCACAACCACCUGUAAAGAGAUGAAAAAAAUGAAACAAUAAAGCAAUAUAGACGGUUGUUCCACUUUG